GCCCUGACUGGGUGGUCUGCCUCACGGUAUGUACUAUUCGGUCGGGGCUUACCUUCUGGUGAGCUCGCAUGUCGUUUAUUCGGUGUGUGAGGGAACCAGGACUUUUACCUUGAGAAAAUUAGAGUGUUCAAAGCAGGCCUAUGCGCCCGAAUACAUUAGCAUGGAAUAAUAAAAUAGGAC
rnacentral:rRNA from 1 species